AUUGAACGCUGGCGGCAGGCCUAACACAUGCGAGUCGAGCGGUAGAGAGAAGCUUGCUUCUCUUGAGAGCGGCGGACGGGUGAGUAAUGCCUAGGAAUCUGCCUGGUAGUGGGGGAUAACGUUCGGAAACGGACGCUAAUACCGCAUACGUCCUACGGGAGAAAGCAGGGGACCUUCGGGCCUUGCGCUAUCAGAUGAGCCUAGGUCGGAUUAGCUAGUUGGUGAGGUAAUGGCUCACCAAGGCGACGAUACGUAACUGGUCUGAGAGGAUGAUCAGUAACACUGGAACUGAGACACGGUCCAGACUCCUACGGGAGGCAGCAGUGGGGAAUAUUGGACAAUGGGCGAAAGCCUGAUCCAGCCAUGCCGCGUGUGUGAAGAAGGUCUUCGGAUUGUAAAGCACUUUAAGUUGGGAGGAAGGGUUGUAGAUUAAUACUCUGCAAUUUUGACGUUACCGACAGAAUAAGCACCGGCUAACUCUGUGCCAGCCGCCGCGGUAA
rnacentral:rRNA from 1 species